UACGUAGGGGGCAAGCGUUGUCCGGAUUAUUGGGCGUAAAGGCUUGUAGGUGGCCACGCCAAGUCGGAUGUGAAAUCUCCCGGCUCAACUGGGAGGGUCAUUCGAUACUGGCGGGCUCGAGGCCCGGUAGGGGGAAGUGGAAUUCCCGGUGUAGUGGUGGAAUGCGUAGAUAUCGGGAGGAACACCAGUGGCGAAGGCGGCUCUCUGGGACGGUACGUGACGCUGAGACGCGAAGCGUGGGAGCGAC
rnacentral:rRNA from 1 species